UCCUACGGUGAUACAGCAGAAAGUUCAAGCAAACAUUCACAACGGACCAUGACAUGGACGACAGCCCCGUUCUUCACACGUGCAAUACCGAAUUAUCACAGAUAACUCAAAUCGAGCCAAUUCAAUCUGCAAGUGUGUUUCAAGAAACAAAUUAGCCAGAGGGAAUUAUAAAAAUAACGUCGGAUGUACUAAUCGAUGUAUGAAGAACAGGGCCCAGGGUGAACUACAUUUUGUGUGUGAAAUCUUCCUGAAAUAAUCGGUCCAAAAGGAAGCAGUAUGCAUUUCAUCAAUAGGUUCAUUUCAAGAAAACAACAAAUCAAAAUGACAAAGACUGUACAAUGUGUGCAAAACAAUUAUGAUAAUUUUAGAAAGUAAAACUAAAGGUCUAUUUGCAUCACAGAUAUUUAACAUUAAUCUCUCACUAAUAAUGAUCCUUAAUAAUUUAUUCUAGAAGCACUAGAAACCUGAUUAAUAA